rnacentral:rRNA from 1 species
GCCUCUAGCAACAACAAGUAUUAGAGGUAAUGCCUGCCCAGUGACACUGUUAAACGGCCGCGGUAUCCUAACCGUGCAAAGGUAGCGUAAUCACUUGUCUUUUAAAUAAAGACUAGAAUGAAUGGCCAAACGAGGUUCCACCUGUCUCUUACAAACAAUCAGUGAAAUUGGUCUUCCCGUGCAAAAGCGGGAAUAACACUAUAAGACGAGAAGACCCUGUGGAACUUUAAAUAUAAAUCAACUAUUAUAUUUACCACCCUAAAGACUUAUAAUUAACUAGUUCUGAUCCAUAUUUUUGGUUGGGGUGACCUCGGAGUAAAACAAAACCUCCGAAAAAAAGAACAUAUUUUCUUAACCUAGAUUUACAACUCAAAGUGCCAACGGCAAAAUGAUCCAAUAUAUUUGAUCAACGAACCAAGCUACCCCAGGGAUAACAGCGCAAUCCCAUCCUAGAGUUCCUAUCGACGAUGGGGUUUACGACCUCGAUGUUGGAUCAGGACAUCCUGAUGGUGCAACCGCUAUCAAGGGUUCGUUUGUUCAACGAUUAAUAGUCCUACGUGAU